rnacentral:rRNA from 1 species
CCUACGGGUGGCAGCAGUGAGGAAUAUUGGUCAAUGGACGAGAGUCUGAACCAGCCAAGUAGCGUGAAGGAUGACUGCCCUAUGGGUUGUAAACUUCUUUUAUAAAGGAAUAAAACGAGGCACGUGUGCCUUUUUGCAUGUACUUUAUGAAUAAGGAUCGGCUAACUCCGUGCCAGCAGCCGCGGUAAUACGGAGGAUCCGAGCGUUAUCCGGAUUUAUUGGGUGUAAAGGGAGCGUAGAUGGGUUGUUAAGUCAGUUGUGAAAGUUUGCGGCUCAACCGUAAAAUUGCAAUUGAUACUGGCAGUCUAGAGUACAGUUGAGGUAGGCGGAAUUCGUGGUGGAGCGGUGAAAUGCUUAGAUAUCACGAAGAACCCCGAUUGCGAAGGCAGCUUACUAAACUGUGACUGACAUUGAUGCUCGAAAGUGUGGGUAUCAAACAGGAUUAGAUACCCUUGUAGUC